AGACUGAAGCCCCUCCAACAUUUAGAGAUCUGGUAGAGGAAAAGCCAGCGAAGAAGACUGAGAAGAACAACCUGUGAAGCCGGAGGAAAAGCAAAAGAUUGUGAUGACAAGGAAACUGAGCAAGGAAGAGUUUCAAGAAGGAGGACAUAUUGGUUGGCUAUCACUGGGUAACAAACAAGCACAAAAAUCUCAGUGGCUUAUAACAGUAAAUAUUUAUUUUACUCAUGCAUUUGUGGGUCAGCUGGAGGUCAGCUACACGUGGCUGACCUUGGCUGGGCGGCUCGAAGCUGCAGUUGGGCUUGGGUCUGCUCCACAGACAUAUCCCUCACCAUCCUUGCACCAGCAGGUCAGUUACGUGAGGUUUUUUUCCCCCAUGGUGAUAAUACUGGCACAAGUAGGCAGGUGGAAACACGAGAUGCCUCCUAAGACCAGGCUUAGAACUGGCACCAUGUCACUUCCUCCUACAGUCCAUUGGCCAAAAUGGGUCAGGCAGCCAUGCCCAAAGUCAAAGAGCGGGAAAGAUUACUCUACCUCGAGUGGGAGGGACUGCGACGUCACAGAAAGGGAUAUGGACACAGGGAGGAGUGGCAAGAAUUAGGACCAAUAAUUCAGUCCACCACAGAGUGGUGAAACAUGUUCACUGCCACUGGGAGACCCGAUGAGACAAGGACCGUGAACUGGCCACUAAUCUAGUCAAGACGUGGAUCCGAGAACAGCGCAAGGAAGUUAAGAGUGUUUGCAGGGGAUUUCGCGUGCUGGAUUAUGAAAUCUCAGCUGGCUGAGAAGUGAAGACCUGAAGGGAGAUAAAUCCUGAAGAAACCGCAGAGCGAUGGCCUGGAAGUCUCUGUUUAGGAGCUGAGACCUCUUACCAACAGCCAGCACCAAGCUGCCAGGCAAGUGAGGGCGCCAUCUUGGAAGUGGAUCCUCCAGCCCCAGUCAAGCCUUCAGAUGAUUGCAGCCUCAGCUAAUAUCUUGACUAAAACCUUGUAAGAGACCCUGAACCAGAGCUGUCAAGGUAAGUUACUCCUGAAUUUCUGACCCACAGAAACUGUGUGAGAUAAUAAAAGUUUAUUGUUGUUUGAAGCAGCUAAGUUUUGGGAUAAUUUAUGUUACACAGCAAUAGAAAACUAAUAUAUAAUGUUUGCUAUUAUUAUUUUCUUGGGUCAACACCGUGAGCAAAGAAGCUGGGGACGGAGAUGUUCUGCCUCAGGUGUGCUGUGAGCAGUAUUAAUAACUGAGGAUACCUUGCUGCUAGGUUGUGCAUAAUGUGAUGGGCUAAGGACCAUCUGGACAAGUUACAAAGCUUCUUUUGAAAUGACCAGUUUCACACCCAUCUGAAGUGUGCUGCAGAAGCCAGUGGUCUCAGGGAGGACCUGCCUGGGCUGACAGACCUCAUUCACAUGACCUCCAGGGCUCAGGUGACAAACAUUAAAAUGAGAGUUAUGGGCUAUUGAUCUAAUGCAGUUCCCACAGUUAGGAAUUGAUGGAGCACUUUCUUUAGAAAAGGCAGUCCAAGCGGCAGGUUCAUUUGAGUCUGGCCCACCUUUCCAGCGUGUGGAAGCUCAGCCCUUCGCGUGAAAACCUCUGCAGUAUUUCCCAGCGACACUGGCUUCCUUCCCUGUCACCAGGAGCUGGACGGAGCUGUGGGGCACAUGACAGCUGCGUUUCAUCAGCGAAUGUGAACUCAUGUCCAAGAAGUCCCCACCCCUCUCGGUACCUGAGAUUCUGGGAAAUCAGCUCUAUUUUCAGCCUCUAGGUUUCCUUGUCAUUAUGAGUGCUGAGCUCCUCGGAAACAGGUGGCCACCGGGGAGCUGAAAAAGAGGAAGAUGAAGUGAGACCCACACAGCCCCGCAAGGAGACAGUUCUAAACCCCGAAGACUGGAAACCGUUGUCCAAAGUCCUUUGGGCAGUCACCCCGGAGACGUCCGCUGUGUUUGGGAAUACAUCUGGCAGGGCUUCCCUCAGGAACCGAAUGGUCAGCCAAUUUGAGCCUCCUUCCUUGAAAGAACUUCGAUAUAAAACAUUUGAAAAGAGUGUUUUAACACUUCUGUAUUUCUUGCUGCUUAUUCCUUUCUUUCCUGGCUUUGCUGCUCAGAGACAGACCUUCAGUCCAGCAACAGCUAUCUCCCCAGGGCUCUACCGGAAAGCGGUAGAGAGGUGACCACUUUUCAAUUAUCCCCUGUCCCUGGGAAGAAAGAACACAGAACCCAGGUUUGAGGUUUUGAGGACCAGGGUGCUUACGAGUCUUUCUUCCUCCAUCACAGGCUCAUGGACUGUAAAGGAAUCAAAUCCAGCCAACUGGUUAUUUAAAAGCCUUCGCUUAGCAUUUGAUGAGGCGAAGAAUGAAUUUUGGAUUAACCAUUAAAAUUGACGUCCAAUUCCCAGCGGAAAUUGAACACGUCCAGGCUCUGUCUAGAGGGUAAAUGAGGAAACUGAUGUCAAAAAAGUGAAAACUGGGUUUCUUAGAAAUAAACAAAGUUUGUGUGGAAGAGAGGGCUCCCCCACGUCUCCUUGGCCUCCACUGUUGUCCUCCCUGAGUGGACAA